rnacentral:rRNA from 1 species
UACAGAGGGGGCAAGCGUUAUUCGGAAUUAUUGGGCGUAAAGAGUUCGUAGGUGGUUCAUUAAGUCUGGUGUUAAAGACCGGGGCUCAACCUCGGGAUCGCACUGGAUACUGGUGGACUGGAGUGCAGUAGAGACAAGCGGAAUUCCCAGUGUAGCGGUGAAAUGCGUAGAUAUUGGGAAGAACACCAGUGGCGAAGGCGGCUCACUGGACUGGUAUUGACGCUGAGGUGCGAAAGCGUGGGGAGCAAACAGG